rfam:Stegodyphus mimosarum contig39711, whole genome shotgun sequence.
CCCUUUGUGGUGUAAUGGUCAGCACACUCGGCGCGUAUUCGAGAGGUCCGAGGUUCGAUUCCCGGCGAGCGCA